UAAGCAUAUCAAUAAGCGGAGGAAAAGAAACUAACAAGGAUUCCCCUAGUAACUGCGAGUGAAGCGGGAAAAGCUCAAAUUUAAAAUCUGUCAGUCUUUGGCUGACCGAGUUGUAAUCUAGAGAAGCGUUAUCCGCGCUGGACCGUGUACAAGUCUCCUGGAAUGGAGCGUCAUAGAGGGUGAGAAUCCCGUCUUUGACACGGACUGCCAGGGCUUUGUGAUGCGCUCUCAAAGAGUCGAGUUGUUUGGGAAUGCAGCUCAAAAUGGGUGGUAAAUUCCAUCUAAAGCUAAAUAUUGGCGAGAGACCGAUAGCGAACAAGUACCGUGAGGGAAAGAUGAAAAGAACUUUGGAAAGAGAGUUAAACAGUACGUGAAAUUGCUGAAAGGGAAACGCUUGAAGUCAGUCGCGUUGUCCAGGGAUCAACCUUGCUUUUGCUUGGUGUACUUUCUGGUUGACGGGUCAGCAUCAAUUUUGACUAUUGGAAAAAGAUCAAGGGAAUGUGGCAUCUUUGGAUGUGUUAUAGCCUUUGGUUGCAUACAAUGGUUGGGAUUGAGGAACUCAGCACGCCGCAAGGCCGGGUUUUUUUAACCACGUACGUGCUUAGGAUGCUGGCAUAAUGGCUUUAAUCGACCCGUCUUGAAACACGGACCAAGGAGUCUAACAUGCCUGCGAGUGUUUGGGUGGAAAACCCGAGCGCGUAAUGAAAGUGAAAGUUGAGAUCCCUGUCGUGGGGAGCAUCGACGCCCGGACCAGACCUUUUGUGACGGCUCCGCGGUAGAGCAUGUAUGUUGGGACCCGAAAGAUGGUGAACUAUGCCUGAAUAGGGUGAAGCCAGAGGAAACUCUGGUGGAGGCUCGUAGCGAUUCUGACGUGCAAAUCGAUCGUCAAAUUUGGGUAUAGGGGCGAAAGACUAAUCGAACCAUCUAGUAAGCUGGUUCCUGC
rnacentral:rRNA from 1 species